ACUCCACGGGAGGCAGCAGUGGGGAAUUUUGGACAAUGGGCGAAAGCCUGAUCCAGCCAUGCCGCGUGCAGGAUGAAGGCCUUCGGGUUGUAAACUGCUUUUGUACGGAACGAAAAGACUCUGGUUAAUACCUGGGGUCCAUGACGGUACCGUAAGAAUAAGCACCGGCUAACUACGUGCCAGCAGCCGCGGUAAUACGUAGGGUGCAAGCGUUAAUCGGAAUUACUGGGCGUAAAGCGUGCGCAGGCGGUUAUAUAAGACAGAUGUGAAAUCCCCGGGCUCAACCUGGGAACUGCAUUUGUGACUGUAUAGCUAGAGUACGGCAGAGGGGGAUGGAAUUCCGCGUGUAGCAGUGAAAUGCGUAGAUAUGCGGAGGAACACCGAUGGCGAAGGCAAUCCCCUGGGCCUGUACUGACGCUCAUGCCGAAAGCGUGGGGAGCAAACAGGAUUAGAUACCCUGGUAGUCCACGCCCUAAACGAUGUCAACUGGUUGUUGGGUCUUCACUGACCCAGUAACGAAGCUAACGCGUGAAGUUGACCGCCUGGGGAGUACGGCCGCAAGGUUGAAACUCAAAUGAAUUGACGGA
rnacentral:rRNA from 1 species